rnacentral:rRNA from 1 species
GAGAGGGUGAUCGGCCACACUGGAACUGAGACACGGUCCAGACUCCUACGGGAGGCAGCAGUAGGGAAUCUUCCGCAAUGGGCGAAAGCCUGACGGAGCAACGCCGCGUGAGUGAUGAAGGUCUUCGGAUCGUAAAACUCUGUUAUUAGGGAAGAACAUAUGUGUAAGUAACUGUGCACAUCUUGACGGUACCUAAUCAGAAAGCCACGGCUAACUACGUGCCAGCAGCCGCGGUAAUACGUAGGUGGCAAGCGUUAUCCGGAAUUAUUGGGCGUAAAGCGCGCGUAGGCGGUUUUUUAAGUCUGAUGUGAAAGCCCACGGCUCAACCGUGGAGGGUCAUUGGAAACUGGA